rnacentral:ncRNA from 1 species
AGAUUUAUAUAUAGUUCUUUUUUUAUUUACAAAUUAUGAAUUACACGGGUAUGUCGAAGUUGAACAUUGGACACUGAUCUCCGAUUUUCAACGGUA